UACGAAGGGGGCUAGCGUUGCUCGGAAUCACUGGGCGUAAAGCGCACGUAGGCGGGUCUUUAAGUCAGGGGUGAAAUCCUGGAGCUCAACUCCAGAACUGCCUUUGAUACUGAGGAUCUCGAGUCCGGGAGAGGUGAGUGGAACUCCGAGUGUAGAGGUGAAAUUCGUAGAUAUUCGGAAGAACACCAGUGGCGAAGGCGGCUCACUGGCCCGGCAUUGACGCUGAGGAGCGAAAGCCAGGGGAGCAAACGGG
rnacentral:rRNA from 1 species